CAUGAUGAGCUAAUGUUGUUAUUAAUGUGGCUAAGAAUAGAAACCUGCUGCAGCUGGUUCUCCCCCGUUUGCAGAGACACAGACACGCACUCUGACCAUGAAGCUAUGGUCUGUAUGUUGUAUGCUCUGUUUAUUUCCAUUUAAUAAAAUGCUUCAUGAAGUCUAAUCGGAUAGGCUUUCUGCAGAGCAACCACAAGGAAACUCCAGAGCGACUUACAGUAGUGAGUGCAUACAUUUUCAUACAUCAGUGGCACCCCUUCAAUUUCAACAGUCAAUUGAGUACCACAGUAUGAGUCAUAAUACCCAUAAAACUUACCGCUAGGAAGUACUUCAUUUAAGGUCUGUGUUUCGUGUUUACCCUGGUGUGACGUUUUGAUAACGUGCAAAUCUCUCAGACAAGGUCACUUUUAUCAAUACAUUAGCCUGUAAUUACCCUCCAAAAAUGAAAUGCUAAUUAGCCACUAAUGUGGCUAUCAUACAGAACUACACAUCCUGUCACAAGCUUUGACGUAAUCACUCAAGGCCCAGGGUGGGAAAAACCUCAAUUUCUCAAUGCAAACUCUCAUCGACAAGUAGCAAGUAACCUAGCGAGUAGAUAUUAUAGCCUUUUUAGUUUCUCGUGUAAAUAAUGUGGUGUAGUUCUUGUGUGUAUUCUUGUUUAGCUUUUUUCAUAUUACCUAGCUAGCUACUGUAUCAUUUUUUAAUUACUAUAAUUUUUUUUAAUUACCCUGGCCUUUGUAACUAACUAGCUAAUCUUAGGUCUCUCCAUCGAUCAGAAGCAAAGAUGGUUUUGUGCUAUGUACCGGAUUGUAACCACCAUUCCGAUAAGCACACGUGCAUUUUAUCGUAAGCGAGAAGCGUCGCUGGAGCUGUGUGAUAAGUCCAACAGGAGUGCAUCCCUCAGGACAUCCGGUGCAUGGACAUCCUGUGCCAGUGUGAUCCGAGCACGAGCGUCCAGUUGUGGAAACUAAAGCACAUCGAGCCUGUGGACGGACAGACAUGAGGCGUGACAUGCAGAACAUCAGGCUCAACCCACGAGAAGCAGUGCAUGAUCAACGCUACCUUCAACAAGGAGAUCUGCUGGAAGUGAUGUACUCACUCACUCACUCACUCACUCUCUCUCACUCUGGGGGUACAGGCAGGGAUGACUGGGGCCUUCAGCAAGUACUGACAGGAGGCGCAAUAUGAGUUUGUCAGAGGUCGUCACACUGAAUGGGGAUGGUGAUGGAGGCUUUUGUGGUCCACACAACGAAGAAGCAGGUGUCCCAGUGAUGUGGAGCUGACCUUGGACCUGGUGCCAGUAAGGAUGGUCUUCGGUACGACCCUCCCUCCUUGUUAUAGAAAUCCUUCGACGUCACUGCCUCUUCAAUGGUAAUGUCCCUUGCACCAUGGGGACACUUGACCUCCACCACUGCUGUGGUGCCCACCAGACCAUCUGGUGAGGCACCCAGGAUCCCAGGCCCUGUGACCCAAAGCCCUGACUCCUGCACAUCCAUCCCUGUAACCAUUUAAAGGCCUUGAUGCCCUCCUCUUCGUUAUCUGUACCCCACUUUACAGACAACACCCCAUUCAACAACUGUGAUCUGAGGACCCUUUUUAGCAGUGACAGAGUAAUGUAGCUCAGUUGGUAGAGCAUGGCAUUUGCAACGCCAGGGUUGUGGGUUCGA